rnacentral:tRNA from 1 species
GUCAGGAUGGCCGAGUGGUCUAAGGCGCCAGACUCAAGCUUGGCUUCCCGCAUUGGGGGUUUCUGGUCUCCGCAUGGAGGCGUGGGUUCGAAUCCCACUUCUGACA